CGGAUUGUAGUCUGCAACCCGACUACAUGAAGCUGGAAUCGCUAGUAAUCGCGGAUCAGAAUGCCGCGGUGAAUACGUUCCCGGGUCUUGUACACACCGCCCGUCACACCAUGGGAGUCGGAAAUGCCCGAAGUCUGUGACCUAACCGUAAGGAAGGAGCAGCCGAAGGCAGGUCGGAUGACUGGGGUGAAGUCGUAACAAGGUACC
rnacentral:rRNA from 1 species